GGCAGAGUGGCUCAAGUGGUAGGGUGCCUGCCUAGGAAGCAUGAGGCCUGAGUUCAAACCCCAGUGCUGCCA